UCAAAAAAAAUUGAUUACAGUACAAUUAUUUAUAGAAGUAAUAGUUAAUUAAAAUAUUAAAAAUAAUUAUAAACGUUAUUUGUUUGGUGUAUUUAAUUAAAAUAAAAUUUAUUAUAAUAAAUAGAUACUGUAUAGUAAAUUUGUGAUAGUAGGUUAUGUGGAUAGAAUAAUAAGUAAUUAGUACCUUGUGUAUCAGGGUUUAUUAAAUAUUUAAUAAUAAUUUAUUAGUCUCGAUAUUAUAAGAGUUAAAAAUUUAUAAAAUUUAUUAUAUAAUAAUUAUUUUAAAUAAAUUUUUAGAGGUGAAAGGUUAUUCGGUUAUAUUGGUAUCUAGUUUUUAAAAAAUAAAUUGAAUUUACAAUUUUUAGUUGAAUUAUUUUAUUUUAUAAUAUUAAAAUUAUAUUAAUGAUUGUAUACCUUAGGGGAUAAGCUUUGGGGUAUAAUAAAAAAAUAUAAAUUAAAUACGUCGCAUAAAUUUAUUGUAUAUCUUAUAUUUACAGUAAUUUUUAUUUUACAUUCAAUAUUAUUUAAUUAAUACUAUUUUUUAUUUAUUDAAAUUAUAAAUUUUAUAUAUAGUGUAUUAAUUGGCUAUAAAAAAAAUGAUAGAAUUAGUAUAGUAAAUAUUUUUUAUAAAUCGUUAAUAUAUGAAAUUUUUAACUAAAUAAUUCGGCAAAUUUAAUGCCCGCCUGUUUAACAAAAACAUGUCCUUUAGAGUUAUUUUUAAGGUCUGACCUGCCCGAUGACUGAUUGUUUAAUGGCUGCAGUAUCAUGACUGUACAAAGGUAGCAUAAUCAUUAGUUUUUUAAUUGAAGACUGGAAUGAACGGUUAGAUGAGGUAUUAACUGUUUCGGUUUAAAUUAUAUUAAAACUUUAUAUUUUGGUAAAAAGGCUUAAAUAUAUUUAAAAGACGAGAAGACCCUAUAAAUCUUUAUAUAUUUUAUAAUUUAUUAAUAGAUAGAAAAAUUAUUUAUGAAUUAUUUAUUUUAUUUUAUUGGGGUGAUAAAGAAAUUUAAUAAACUUUUAAAUAUUUAUGCGUUCAUUUAUUUAUGGUGAUUUGACCCUCUACUAGGGGUUAGAAGAAUAAGUUACUUUAGGGAUAACAGCGUAAUUUUUUUGGGGAGCUCGAAUUUAUAAAAAAGUUUGCGACCUCGAUGUUGGAUUAAAAUAUAAUUUAGGGCGAAGGAGUUUUAGGAUUAAGUCUGUUCGACUUUUAAAAUUUUACAUGAUCUGAGUUCAAACCGGUG
rnacentral:rRNA from 1 species